GGGCCCGCACAAGCGGAGGAACAUGUGGUUUAAUUCGAUGAUACGCGAGGAACCUUACCCGGGCUUGAAAUGCAUCUGGCGUCCCGAGAGAUCGGGAUUUCCUUCGGGACAGAUGUGUAGGUGCUGCAUGGUUGUCGUCAGCUCGUGCCGUGAGGUGUCGGCUUAAGUGCCAUAACGAGCGCAACCCUCAUCGUUAGUUGCCAUCAGGUAGUGCUGGGGACUCUAACGAGACUGCCAUCGUAAGAUGCGAGGAAGGUGGGGAUGACGUCAAAUCAGCACGGCCCUUACGUCCGGGGCGACACACGUGUUACAAUGGGAGGUACAAAGGGUUGCUACCUGGUGACAGGAUGCUAAUCUCAAAAACCUCUCUCAGUUCGGAUUGGAGUCUGCAACUCGACUCCAUGAAGCUGGAUUCGCUAGUAAUCGCACAUCAGCCACGGUGCGGUGAAUACG
rnacentral:rRNA from 1 species